GGCUUGGUAAUUGGAAUGAGGGAGAGUUAAACGGACCAUCGAGUAUCCAUUGGAGGGCAAGUCUGGUGCCAGCAGCUGCGGUAAUACCAGCUCCAAUAGCGUAUAUUAAAGUUGUUGCAGUUAAAAAGCUCGUAGUUGGACUUGUGUGCGCUGUCCGCGGGUGGCCUGCGCCCAAAAGGGCGUUUCGGUUCGGCCCCGGUGGCGCCUUGAAAUCUGCAGCUGGGGGGACGUUGGCCUUAACUGGUCGGCGACCGCACGCCGGCUGCUCGGUUACUGUGAGAAAAUUAGAGUGUUCAAGGCAGGCAUUGGGUGCAAUUGAAUACAUUAGCAUGGAAUAAUAAAAUAUGGCUCCUGCCGUAUUUUGUUGGUUUUGACUGGUGGGAGUAAUGAUUGAUAGGGACGGUUGGGGGUGCUAGUAUUGAGCGGCCAGAGGUGAAAUUCAUGGAUUCGCUCAAGACUAACUUAUGCGAAAGCAUUCACCAAGGACGUCCUCUUUAAUCAAGAACGAAAGUUGGGGGAUCGAAGACGAUCAGAUACCGUCGUAGUCUCAACCAUAAACUAUGUCGACUUGGGAUCGGCGGUAGUUUUUUCAUUAAGACACUGUCGGGACCACGGGAGAAAUCAAAGUGUCUGGACUCUGGGGGAAGUAUGGUCGCAAGGCUGAAACUUGAAGGAAUUGACGGAAGGGCACCACCAGGAGUGGAGCCUGCGGCUUAAUUUGACCCAACACGGGGAAACUUACCAGGUCCAGAGAUAUAGAGGAUUGACAGAUUGAAGCUCUUUCUUGAUCACUUCGGUGGUGGUGCAUGGCCGUUCUUAGUUGGUGGAGUGAUUUGUCUGGUUAAUUCCGUUAACGAACGAGACCUCAGCCUGCUAGUGUAGUCGGCUGGAUUGCCUUUGGCGACCCGUGAUUUCGACUUCUUAGAGGGACAAUCGACGCGCAGUCGAUGGAAGUUUGAGGCAAUAACAGGUCUGUGAUGCCCUACAUGUUCUGGGCCGCACGCGCGCUACACUGCUGGGCUCAGCGAGUUUUACUUGGCCGAGGGGCCCGGUUAAUCUUGUGAAAUCCCAGCGUGCUUGGGCUCGCCUCCUGCAACUGGAGGCGCCAACGAGGAAUUCCUAGUAGACGCAGGUCAUCAACCUGCAUCGAUUACGUCCCUGCCCUUUGUACACACCGCCCGUCGUUCCAUAAGAGUGAGGCAUCCGGUGAAUUCUCGGGAGAGCCUGGGCGUGGCCAGCAAUGGUCUGCUCGGGUUUGAACUUGCAUAAACUUGGUGCCUAUGAUUAGGG
rnacentral:rRNA from 1 species